rnacentral:lncRNA from 1 species
CCAUAAACUGAUGGGUAUUCGUAAAAAGAUCACUAAUAUCCCUAUUUAAAGUGUAACAUAUUCCCUAAAACAGGCAUCUUGAAUAUCCCAUAAACUGAUGGGUAUUCGUAAAAAGAUCACCAAUAUCCCACAAAAUCAUGGGAUAUUCAUGAAGAGAUCAUCCUAUAUUCGAGAAAUACUCUACUAACGGCCCUCGAAUUAUGGAGAAAAUCGAGAGAAGAAUCACUAACGACGCUCGAAUUACGGAGAAAAUCGAGAGAAGAAUCAAGG